GAUGAACGCUGGCGGCGUGCCUAAUACAUGCAAGUCGAGCGAACAGACGAGGAGCUUGCUCCUCUGACGUUAGCGGCGGACGGGUGAGUAACACGUGGAUAACCUACCUAUAAGACUGGGAUAACUUCGGGAAACCGGAGCUAAUACCGGAUAAUAUAUUGAACCGCAUGGUUCAAUAGUGAAAGACGGUUUUGCUGUCACUUAUAGAUGGGUCCGCGCCGCAUUAGCUAGUUGGUAAGGUAACGGCUUACCAAGGCGACAAUGCGUAGCCGACCUGAGAGGGUGAUCGGCCACACUGGAACUGAGACACGGUCCAGACUCCUACGGGAGGCAGCAGUAGGGAAUCUUCCGCAAUGGGCGAAAGCCUGACGGAGCAACGCCGCGUGAGUGAUGAAGGUCUUCGGAUCGUAAAACUCUGUUAUUAGGGAAGAACAAAUGUGUAAGUAACUAUGCACGUCUUGACGGUACCUAAUCAGAAAGCCACGGCUAACUACGUG
rnacentral:rRNA from 1 species